rnacentral:sRNA from 1 species
GCCAGGUGCAGUGUCAUGCACCUGUAGCCCCAGGUACAUGGGAGACUGAGGCAGGAGGAUUAAAUGGGCUUGGAAUUUGUGGACUGUAGUGUGCUGUGCCAACCAGGUGAUUUUCUAGGUUUGGCAUCAAUAUGGUGACCUUUUGGAGGCAAGGGACCACCAGAAUUUUAAAAUAACAGUGAAAUGAUCCAGCACAGGUUGAAAAUAAAGCAGGUCAAGACUCCCAUGCUGUAUCACUGCAUCCCAGCCUGGGCAACAUAGUAAGACCCUACCUCU